CAGAAUUUCCAGGUGACCUUCCAAGGUUGAAACUAAAAGUGAAGACAACAACUAUAAGCUCUGGGAAAUACACACACAGACCCCAAACUUCCUGAAUUUUCUGAAGAGUAAACAAAAGCAGAAAUUCUGGAUGAGAGUCACAAUUUGGAAGAAGAGACCGACUGUUGUAAGAGCCUUCUGAUUUACUCCUCUGCUGCACUCCAGUCUAUUCUUAUCCUGCAACUACAGUGAUUCACU